rnacentral:ncRNA from 1 species
GGCUUUUAAAAAAAAUUAUCUAGGCUAUCUACAAAUUUAAGAAUUUCGUCUCCAACUGCCUGUAGUAGGUGUUGACAAGAUAUGAUUUCUGCCCAGUGCUCUGAAUAUCAAAGUGAAGAAAUUCAAGGAAGUGCAGGUAAAUGGCAAGAGUAACUAUGACCCAUGUGUGCUAGCAAGUGACAAGUCAGAAGCAAC